ACGGAGAUGAACAUUGUGCUAUUAGGGUUGACUGCUAUCGGGCUGCUUUUCUUGUGCCAAAUUAAAAAAAAGCCCACACACAAACUUAGCCCAUAUGGAUCGCUGAUUCCUUUAAUGAAACGCUGUGUUUCGAGCAGGCGGGACACGUGUUGACUCCUCGUGAAGCGACUUUCCUAAGUGGAAUCCUAGGUGGCAGCCUCAGGAGAGAGCAAAACACUCUUUUAUAUAUAAAGAAACAGUUUGUUCUCUUCUCCUUAGGACACCUAGGAUUCCACCUAGAUAAGUCGAGCUUUGUGAGCACGACACGUGUCCAACCAUCCCAAAAACUAGCAUUUCAUUUAAGUUACAGAUCAUAACUUUGUGACACCUCCUCUCCUCCUCUGCCUCUCUCCUACGUGAAGUUAUUAAGCACCGUGAUGCCUCCUCUCCUACUUCGUGACAGCUCCGCUCCUCUCCGGCUAUUACGUCUCUACUCUUCCCGUCUCUCUCUCUCGCUCUCCACGUCUGUUCUUCUAUUCCCUCGGAUCUCUGCUCCAUGUCUCUCCACCAUCAGGAGAUCUCUUCUCAUGUCUCUCCAUCUCCACUACCGUUUCUAUCAAUUAAUGGUAAUGAAUCCCCUCCUCCUUUUUAGAUCUACAAAUUAUUUACUUUCUCAUCAUCUCUUCUGUGUGGCUUUGAUUUUGGUGAAGUUUGAAUAAUCGAAGUGUGAAGACGAACCAGAGGAUCGAUACGGUGUAGAGGAGCAGAGAGGAGUGUGGAGGAAGAGAGGAGAGGCUGUAUGGAGGAUUACCACCGUCGAAUAGACAAAUCUGGGUUUUGUUUGAGUUUUAUUAGAUCUGAAUUUUGCUCUUAGUUGAAACUCUUGAUGAAUAUUAUUUCUAUUUUUGUAGGUUUGUGAUUUGAAGAUGAUGGGUUAUAUAUAGUUUAUAUAGGCUAGAAAAAGACCAUGGUAAGGAUUUGCCAUGAAGUUUGAUUCUGAUUUUUUCUCUUUUUUUGGUAGAUGAAGUGGAUGGAAAGGAUUUGCCAUGAAAGUUGAAUCUUAUUCUGUUUACUUAAUAGCUUUCUUUAGGAGACAAACUUCGUUUUAAAUUGUAAAGUUUACUGUUUUAUCCAAUGUUUCUGACUUUAGCUGUGUAGAGAAGGAGUGAUCUUUCGAUGUGUUUUAAAGUUCAGCUUUUUAAUGUUGUUCAGGUUGAGUGAUAUGUUUUGUGGUUCACGGCAGGAGAGAGUGAUAUACAGAAAAACUGGAAAAUGGAAAGCGUAGCCAUACCAGAGCAAUUGAUCAAACUCCUCCCUGUUGCAGAGCCUGGAAUAUUUGAUCUGGUGGGUUAUAUCAUCUUCCCCGUGGAAGGAAUCCAUACCAGAGCGUCUUCUACAACGGAAACAUUGAGGUAGUUAUGCAAGGCAAAUGUGGAGAGGCAUGGACUUCGAGAAGACGGAUGUGAUGCACUUGUAAAACUGGUCACAGUCACGAUUCGAAAUGCCUAGCUUGUUGGGAGGAAGAAAAAUAUGAUUAAAAUUCUUGAAAUCAUUAUUGGCAAAUUACUCAAGGGCUAGAUAGUGUAUAGGCAAUAAUUCAAAAUUGAAAGUUUGUAGGGCGUUAAUUUCUAUCCUAGACACAAAAAAAUCAUACAAAAAAUAAUAAUCUAGAUUACAAGUAAAAUACGGGCGGGCCGACUCUAGUUAUAUAUAUGUUUCAGUUUUGGUGUUCCCAUGGCUGUCGCUUUUAGUUCUAUCUUUUGUUUGUGAUGUUGAAAUAUAGUCAUGCACUUGUAAUCUUAUAUAUACAGAUAGUUGAGAGGAAGAGUCAAGAACACAAAAUGGACAACGUUAGGAAUGUAUUCAAUUACCAUUAAUUUUCAACAUAUUUCAUAUAGUAGUAUGGUAAAUAAUAAUUGACUGUAAUAUUUUGGUAAUUGUUCAAUUACCAUUAAUUUUGAAUAUAUCUCAAAUUAGUAGUCAAGGAAUAAAAAGGUUGACUAGACUAUACAUUUUGUUGUGGUAGUAUAUUAAAUAUAUUUGUUGUUCUAAUUAUUAAGUCUAAUGUUUAUUUAUUAUCGUAUUUUAGUAUAGGUUUACUAUUUUCAUAACACCCAUGUUUAGUCAGAGACAAGAAAAUCCGUACCAAGCUACGAAAGACCCAACAUUCGAGGGAAAUCAAGAAAGACAAUAAAUAAAUGUACGUGUGAAUUUAAAGUUUAAGCAUCAUAAAAUAAACGAUGAAGAAAACUUCUCCACAUCAACUUUAUGAAAAUUAAUGUACCUAUAGCUUGACGUGUAUGCCAAUGAUAAUCCAGUUAAAUAUGACGAUUUAUCUAAGUAUAGCUUGUUGUUUCCAAACGAGCAACUUGAGACUGAAAUUGAAGCUAGUCGUUCCUUGAUUCAGUCAGAUACAGAGCAACAUCAUAUACCACACAGCAAAGAGUCUGUGCAAGAAAAGGUUUGUCUUUUUCCGCUUCACUUUUUUUUUUGAAUGAAUGUUAAAUUUAUUCAUCACAAAAACCUAUUUUACAAUCAAUGCAUCGUUUGUGUGGAAAA